UCACAUGACAGAUUCCUCUCGCGUCUCUCCACACAGCGUUCAAUCGCGGGAUUCUAGCGUCACUGAAGAACCGAGUCCGGCGCGGCAGGACGUCAACGACAGCGCAACAAUUAUUAGGUAUGAAGACAAGUUUUCAAGGGACCAGACACAUUUUCGAACGGACUGACUGUUGGCAGCGGAAAUUCUUGAGCAGUACGAUACUAUGAGUCAUCUUCAGUCAUCAUCUUCUAAAAUGAACCGUACAUUUCAUAGGCUAUCAGAAAGCGGACAGGAAAAUGGCGAGAGAGAGAAGGAGAGGAUGAAGAGAAGUGGCCCGAAGGAAUGGAAGAAGCCCCAGAGCAGAACCAGAGGGAGGGAGGGAUAACUGCUGUGACAUGAAAGAGUGAUAGAGCAGAUCACAGAAGACCUUUCAGCUGUGGGGCCAGUAGACAGACGCGCUCCUGGAGCCAGAGGAGAAGACCAGGGGCAAGAAGAGACCGUCUGCAUUCAUUUCCAAGCCUUUUGUCUCUCUACACACCUUUUCAACACGGGGCGCAAUUAUGAAACGGGUUUCAGUCAUUGAAGUAGAAUGUAACAACAACAAAAGGAAUCGAGUGUCUUCUGUGAAACAUUAAAUAUCCUCUGAUAACCCGGUAAA